rnacentral:rRNA from 1 species
UACGAAGGGAGCUAGCGUUGUUCGGAAUCACUGGGCGUAAAGCGCACGUAGGCGGAUGUGUCAGUCAGGGGUGAAAUCCCGGAGCUCAACUUCGGAACUGCCUUUGAUACAGCACAUCUGGAGUCCGGAAGAGGUGGGUGGAAUUCCUAGUGUAGAGGUGAAAUUCGUAGAUAUUAGGAAGAACACCGGUGCGAAGGCGGCCCACUGGUCCGGUACUGACGCUGAGGUGCGAAGCGUGG